rnacentral:tRNA from 1 species
GCAGGCGUAGCUCAGUCGGUAGAGCAUUUGGUCGCUGGUUCGAGUCCAGCCGCUUGCA